rnacentral:rRNA from 1 species
GACGUAGGGCGCGAGCGUUGUCCGGAUUUAUUGGGCGUAAAGAGCUCGUAGGCGGCUUGUUGCGUCAGCUGUGAAAACCUGCAGCUUAACUGUGGGCUUGCGGUGGAUACGGGCAGACUUGAGUUCGGUAGGGGGAGACUGGAAUUCCUGGUGUAGCGGUGAAAUGCGCAGAUAUCAGGAGGAACACCGGUGGCGAAGGCGGGUCUCUGGGCCGAUACUGACGCUGAGGAGCGAAAGCGUGGGGAGCGAACAGG